rnacentral:rRNA from 1 species
ACAUGCGAGCUUCCAUGCAGUCGACGCCCCGCAAGGGGAGUGGCAGACGGGUGAGUAACGCGUGGGAAUCUACCCAAUUCUACCGAACAACAGUUGGAAACGACUGCUAAUACCGUAUACGCCCUACGGGGGAAAGAUUUAUCGGAAUUGGAUGAGCCCGCGUUGGAUUAGCUAGUUGGUGGGGUAAAGGCCUACCAAGGCGACGAUCCAUAGCUGGUCUAAGAGGAUGAUCAGCCACAUUUGGACUGAGACACGGCCCAAACUCCUACGGGAGGCAGCAGUGGGGAAUAUUGGACAAUGGGCGCAAGCCUGAUCCAGCCAUGCCGCGUGAGUGAUGAAGGUCUUAGGAUUGUAAAGCUCUUUCACCGGAGAACAUAAUGACGGUAUCCGGAGAAGAAGCCCCGGCUAACUUCGUGCCAGCAGCCGCGGUAAUACGAAGGGGGCUAGCGUUGUUCGGAAUUACUGGGCGUAAAGCGCACGUAGGCGGAUAUUUAAGUCAGGGGUGAAAUCCCAGAGCUCAACUCUGGAACUGCCUCUGAUACUGGGUAUCUUGAAUAUGGAAGAAGUGAGUGGAAUUGCGAGUGUAGAGGUGAAAUUCGUAGAUAUUCGCAGGAACACCAGUGGCGAAAGGCGGCUCACUGGUCCAUAACUGACGCUGAGGUGCGAAAGCGUUGGGAGCAAACAGGAUUAGAUACCCUGGUAGUCCACGCCGUAAACGAUGAAUGUUAGCCGUCGGGCAGUUUACUGUUCGGUGGCGCC